rnacentral:lncRNA from 10 species
GAAAAUCAAACAGCUACCUGUCUCGCUGUAAGAAAAGGGGCCGAUCGAAAAAAAAAAAAAAACUGAAAAGGAGAUGUUAGGUGGUAGGAGCCAGAUGCCCCGAGGGCUCAGCAGCCGUCUCCAGCUGAUGCACUGAGUCUUUGGGAAGGAGAGACUAAACUCACUGGCUGGAGGAGAGAACCCUGAUCAGGGCUGAGACAGAAACCUGAGACAACUCCAAGUGGGACCUUUAGGCAACAGGUCCAUGAAAGGCUGCGAAGACUUCAAGCAUUGCCAGCAUCACAUGCACACAUCUGGAAACACCUGCAAUUCCAAACCAAAAACCAGAGAAAUGAUUUUUUUGGAAUACAGGCUUAUUCUUCAAGUGAUUCUCUGUGCUGAGGGGAUAAAGGUUUGGGUUAAAGAUAAAUAUGACCUUGCCUCUACCCUACAGAAGUCCUGGGACAUGGUUCAUUGUCACACAGGGAGGACUGUGAUGAUGAGGCUGUAAGGCAGGUAGAUACGCCACUGCUAAAGGAGAACAGAAGAGAGGGAAAUGAAUUCUUACCUGGAGACUCUGGUGUUAGCAUCCACACUAGGUUGAGCAUUUAUUUCCUGUUGGCUAGACAGUUAACCCCUUCUCUGCUUAAUACUGGGGGCUCAUUUUUUCUGCCCCACUGGCCAAUAGACGAGCUUUUGAAACACUAUGAGGAGAAGCAUUUAGGAUCUUGGACUUGCUGGCAGUUUGUUGAAAGAAAAAGUGGGGAACAGGAAGAAGGAUUUUGUUCUAUAGGAUUCCUGUUCUCUUCUCAGAGACAGUGAAGCUUAACACUCUUUGCAGCAAUAGCUCGAUGUCCUUGUGGGACAGUAGGGAUUCAGGAUAAAUAUUCCUAUUUUAUAGAUGAAGAAAUUGAGGAUACCAGUUGCGUAGAGGCAAAAUCACAACCAGACCAAGAUUCUUAACUUCCAUUUCACUCUCUUAAAGAAUGCAAAGCAUAUUAUCUAGGAAAGCACAUUGAGAUUAUGUAAAAG